CCCACUUUCUGCCUCAAUUUUACCCUUUAUUCAAGGGAAUUCUGUGGGCAGGAGAAGAACGGAGCAGCAGACAGCAAGACCUCAAACCUCAGCCCGCCACGUCUCAGAGUUGUCAGCUUGGGGGCUUCGGGUGGGAGCGGAGCCUCCAGAAAGUGUGUUGCUGGGAUGUCAGGAAGUCCUCCUGCUCUCUGCCCUCAAGGCUCCCUGCUCUCUUCCCAUGGGCCCUGACUGGCUCACCUGAAUUGCUGGGGGAAAGGAGUGCUCAGAGUUUUCCAGAAGCCACAUGACAUGUGAUAGUGCAGCAUGUUGAAUUAAGAUGCAGACACGAGAAGUCAACUGUCUUCUAUUAACCCUUAAAAAGAGCUGUGAAAAUGUGAAACAAUGCCAUUCUUACUAAACUUUUUUUAAAAUAUGACUAUUUUCAUUAA